AAAAACAAACAAAAAGAGUCUCUUGUGGUGGCAGUGUGUCUGAGCUUCAAUCACUGUUUGUUUUGCACAAGGGAAAUUUAUAUUUCUUUGAGUGGCUCUGUCAUAAAAAUCUCUCCAUGCAUUUAAACCCAGCCUCUGAAGGCUCCUAAACCCUGAAUGUAUCAAAAAUGAAGCUGGGUGGAAGCUGCUGUUACUCUUAGCCCCCUUUUCUUUGAUAAGGUUUUGUACUGAGUGUUGGAUUCAUGCCAGCACCGUUUGUUGAAGAUGCUUUCUUUUCUCCAUUGUAUAGUUUUGGCUUCUUCGUCGAUAAUCAAGUGUUCAUAGGUGUGUGGAUUUAUGUCUGGGUCUUUGAUUAGAUUCCAUUGAUCCACCUGUCUGUUUUUACGCCAAUACCAUCAGCAAUAGGUUCUUAUAUCAAGUUCUGAAUAGUAGCAAAGAGCAAUAUCCUUAUAUUUGGGAGUCUAUGGCACCUCCUCUCCUGAAUUAAUUUUGAAAUCUCACAGGUGUCUUUCUUGAUUUUCCAUUUGUAAUAUACGCUUUCAAGGUAUUCCCAAAUCACUCUCUGGAUAUCAUUAGCACAUAUUGUAAUGCCUCCCUAGUCAACUGUAAAUGUAUUCAUUUCAAAAAAUGAAUACAAUAAUAACAUAUAUAAAAUAAUAAACAAUAAAAUAUUUAAAAGUUUAAAAGUAAUACCAAAUAACUUUAGGGGAGAGUAACAAAAGGUGAAGAACUAAUACAUCUCAUCCAAUAAAAAAUAUUUUUGCAUGAAAUCUUUUUGAUAGUAAAUAAAAAGAUACAAGCAUAUGACUCAAUCCUUCUCUUUUGAAUACAAACAGAUCAGCAGCAGAAUAUCUGAAUACUCUGGAGAUUGCUAGAUGAAAACAUAAGGAGUGAAUUUCAAACUAUAACUACAGAGAAGGACCUUCUGAACAAGAAUGCAGUCGCUUGGGAAAUAAACAAGAUUUGAUGCAUAAGCCAACAUAACACUUAGAAGCUUCUGCACAGGUGUAUGGCAGUGAAUGGGAGUGCCCUUGGAGGACAGAAGAGGACUUUGGAUCCCCUGGAGCUGGAGCUACUUACUGGUGGUUAAAGCAGAUGAAUCCUGUUGCUCAGCAUCCACUUCACUUCGCUUUUGAAGCAGUCUGGAACCCUAGCUCAUGAGAUGGUGCUGCCCAGACUCAGCGCAGAUGUUGUGUUUCUUUUGGGGGACACACUGGAUGCAUGGGUUACAGAAGUCGAUCAUAUGACAACUGCUUCAGCUGGAGACGUUGCCCGGAGAAGAUCUCAUCACAUUUGCCAAGAAGCAAAUGAUGCUACUACAGAGAGUAAAGCAAGGUGCACAGAUCAGCAGCAGAAUAUCUGAAUACUCUGGAGAUUGCUAGAUGAAAACAUAAGGAGUGAAUUUCAAACUAUAACUACAGAGAAGGACCUUCUGAACAAGAAUGCAGUCGCUUGGGAAAUAAACAAGAUUUGAUGCAUAAGCCAACAUAACACUUAGAAGCUUCUGCACAGGCUUCAUGGUUCCAGCUAAUGCAUCAAAUACAAUAAUGAAAAGGACUGGGCAUAGUGGACAGCACUGAUUAUUUUCAGAUUUGAUUGGGAUUGAUUCAAGUUCUUCUCCACUGAACCUGACGCUGCCUGUGGGUUUGUCAUAGAAACCUCCAUUCUAUUGAGGUACCAUAGGACUUUUAUCAAAAAAAGCAUGUUGGAUUUUAUCAAAGGCUUUUUCUACAUCUUUUAAGAUCAUCAUGUGAUCUUUGCCUUGA